rnacentral:rRNA from 1 species
UACGAAGGGUGACAAGCGUUACUCGGAAUUACUGGGCGUAAAGCGUGCGUAGGUGGUUUGUUAAGUCUGCUGUGAAAGCCCCGGGCUCAACCUGGGAACUGCAUUGGAAACUAACGGGCUCGAGUGUGGCAGAGGGGGGUGGAAUUCCACGUGUAGCAGUGAAAUGCGUAGAGAUGUGGAGGAACACCGAUGGCGAAGGCAGCCCCCUGGGCUAACACUGACGCCUCAGGCACGAAAGCGUGGGGAGCAAACAGG